rnacentral:piRNA from 1 species
UACUCAGCUGUGUCAGGUUAAUCAGGGUU